AUGAACGCUGGCGGCGUGCCUAAUACCUGCAAGUCGAGCGAACGGACGAGAAGCUUGCUUUUCUGAUGUUAGCGGCGGACGGGUGAGUAACACGUGGAUAACCUACCUAUAAGACUGGGAUAACUUCGGGAAACCGGAGCUAAUACCGGAUAAUAUUUUGAACCGCAUGGUUCAAAAGUGAAAGACGGUCUUGCUGUCACCUAUAGCUGGAUCCGCGCUGCAUUAGCUAGUUGGUAAGGUAACGGCUUACCAAGGCAACGAUGCAUAGCCGACCUGAGAGGGUGAUCGGCCACACUGGAACUGAGACACGGUCCAGACUCCUACGGGAGGCAGCAGUAGGGAAUCUUCCGCAAUGGGCGAAAGCCUGACGGAGCAACGCCGCGUGAGUGAUGAAGGUCUUCGGAUCGUAAAACUCUGUUAUUAGGGAAGAACAUAUGUGUAAGUAACUGUGCACAUCUUGACGGUACCUAAUCAGAAAGCCACGGCUAACUACGUG
rnacentral:rRNA from 1 species